UGUAUUGGCACUGUGUUAGGUGUAUGAGAGCGGCUAAAUACCUACUGCUCCUAGAUAGUGUAUCUAACGGAAUAGAGAGGGACAUACAGUCCGCUACAGGGUGUGCACACGUGCUUGUAUGUUUAAAACUUUAAAAGGGAAUAACAUUUCAGACCAAGUUAAUUAAUUCUAAUUCAAUAGUUUGGAAUACUACUUCAUAAACAAUUGGAUUAUAAUUGGAUGGGGAAGUGACAUAUUGGAAGGUUACAUGCAACACGUAUUUAAGAUAUGACCAAAUGUGGUCAGUUUAUGUGAAAUAUAAUAAUAUUAUGUAAGUGACGACGUGAUGGACUGUCGAGAGUACCUAGGCUUAGUGUGCCGUGUUCUGAUCGCAAGUAAAUCUGCUUAAGUCGUCAUGUUACCUGCAAACAGAUUAAUGUACUGUUGGACGUACCUGAUCAAUAAGCCUGCCACUGAUUACAGAUUUGCUUACUCUGGGAUUUGAAUUGGAUCAGCAUAGUAACGGACUAAGCACGAUAGUAACCGGCUCACGUGAAUUGUUUCUAACGACAGGAAUACGAACUAUAGCAGCAGAAUCUGCAGACGUAAACGAUGUCUUGGCUCAAGUUCUGGAGUAGCAAGAAGUCAAAAUCGAAAGACAUCAAAGAUGAAUACCAGAAGGAAUUCCAAAAACUGGACGGACAGACGGAUGCAGAGAAAGAGAAGAAUAAGCUACGUCAUUCCUUGUCAAUAUCUCGAUCCGGAAGAUUCAAGUCGAAGAGUCGACAACGAUCCGGGAUUUUAGAUAAACCGGAAUUGUUCGACGGUAGUAAUCCAUCGGACGGAAAUGCUUCGUCUACGUCACAGAAUCCAACCCCUUCCGGGUCGUCCAGAUCCCCUAACAAUACGUGUAGAGACAUGAGACAAUUGUCCGGUAUGCAUGGAUUCCAGGGGGGCCGGACAGCUCCUCAGCCGGCGGCGGUAUAGUGUCCCACGUCUGAUCAACUUUAGGUGACAAAUCAUGUGUUUUAGCGGAUGAUAACAGUUCUAGAUUUUCGUAUGAUCAUGUGACCAAGCGGCAUGCCAAGUGAAAGUGCAAAACAUAACCGUACAUCCAUAUUGUUGCGUAUUAACACACCGAAGUGUUUCUAUAUAUGAUGAUAAAGUGCCUUACUUGUUUUCGAUAAUGCAUCGAAGUGUAUCUGUGGAAAUGCUUGACUGAAUACGAAUGAUUCACGAAUACAAAUGACUAAAUUGUUUUGUGAUUAAUGGAUCAAUUCAUCGGCUCUAUGCAACCCUUAAUGGCAUGCAGACUUAUUUAAAACGUAUAAAGCAAGCCACUUACCGGAGGGUACAACGGGAAGAUAUCACUUGAUUAUAAACAAUAACGAAACUAGAAACUGUAUUACGUCAAAAGGACGCGUGUUUGUUUUCGACGAAAUCAUUAUGUUUCUGAUUACGGUGUGAUUGCCAGGAAUAGUUGCUAGAUUGUUUGGUGAGGAUGGACGAAAGAGUAUAAAUCUGAUAGCCCUGACACACAGGGUUAUAGUGUGAAGGUGACCUUGACAUUUGCCUUCACAAUGGUGAGUUCAUUAUGUCUUGCUCAAAUUGUGAAGUGUAUAAGGUCUCUAUCCCUGCCCUGGAUAUACUGGUGGGCUUUAUUCCUCGUUGGUACUACAUGAUACACUACCCGUUUACGAAUUGUUUUGACAGACUUGACGUGAUUGAGCUGAGAAAACAACAACCCCUUUUCAGAACCAACAGUAAAAACGAUGGCCGUAUAGCAAUGUUUCGGUAUAAAAGUUCCGUCUGUAGUGAAUGGACAAGUUUGUAGCAUUGUCAUAACCUUUUGUUGUAUUUAAUGCAAAGAGAAAUCACAUCGACGAAUUAUUUUUGUAAUUAUUUUGCAUAUGAUCGCAUGACUGCAAUAUCUAAUUGAUCAUUUCGAAUUCAUUUUUUGUUUCCGACACAGAAGUGCCAUUAUCGUGAUUUGCGUUUGUAAGACCAGCUUGAUGCUGUCUAUCCGAAAUAUUCCACCAUCAACAAUACAUAUGAUCACAAUGCGGUUUACAUAAUUAGAGGGAUCAGUUGUAGUUCUCUUUGAUGCAUAGCUUUACAUUCCAGAUUGUGGCUUAUCGCUUAGUCGAUAAGUUGAUAUGCAUACCAUUCAUGUUUCAUUUAUAAAUAGAGAAAUGGAGUUUGUUGCAAAUCAGAAAAUUGCGUUAUAUAUAUAGUAUCAUGACAGUAGUGUUUUCACUGUGAUUAAGUUUCUACGUCACUCAAUCAAAUAAUCAUUAUUGAUGUAAUUGUUUCUGAUUUAUAUAUAUUACCUAUCUGGGAUAUGCUAAUAUUUGCAUGUUGGUAAGAACUCCCUGACAUUGAAAGAUUUUGCUAAUAUGUAAGUAACUGUCUCAUAAUUUUGUUGUAACCUUAGUAACGACCAUUUUGCCCUGAUCUCACGUGAUAGCUGGACAUCUGUAAUGUAAGUUGGUAAGACAAUAACACUAUUGUUUAUCCAGCAUCAUUCCCAUCGGUUACGUAUGACAACGUCAUCGACGUUAGCCAAUGACGUUGACAUGUGUACAAGGUAUAUCACCAGCUGUCAUUAUUGUACAGCUGAACAACCAUAAGAAUUGGUGAAAAAGUCUUAGAAAUAACGAGUUUGAUUUGUUGUUUGUAACGAUUUUUUUUUUUUUUUAUUUAAGACGAAACUAAUAAUCACUAUUUAUAAAAAUGUUUAAUGAAUCUGCGUAACAGAAAAAAUCGAUGUAAUUUGCAAUUUUUAUGCACGGUCCCUCAGUUUACAUAGUAAAGUAAUUAUUUUGUCGGUAUUCUCUAUAAAGUAAUUAUUUUGUCGGUAUUCUCUAUAAAGUGAUUAUUUUGUCGGUAUUAUCUGUAAUGUGGUUAUUUUGUCGAUAUUUUCAAGCUUGUUAGAACAAAAUAUUAGUAACUGUUACAGGUUUUUGCUAAGGACCAAACAUAUGUAUCUUACGAACAUCCUCUUGAAAAUAUCAAAUUCAUCAAAAUAACAAUGACUGCCCCUCCCCUUCAACAGUAAUGCAUUAGUUCAGAUUUGUAUUGAUUGCUAAAUUUCCACACUUUCCGCUCAUGAAGAGUCUCAAAGAAGGACGAAACGCCUCUGUAUUAAAACCUGAUAUUCACAAAUGUGUAAAUCUUUAAUUUAAUAUUUAAAUAGAGCCCGGAUAGUCUUUCCAUCGUCAAACGUUUUGAUAAUCAUAAAACUACAACGUGACCGUUGUAUGUGAUAUAGGAAUGUUACACAUUAUAAUUACAUCACAUACACAUAGCAUUAGAGACAUAAUUAUAUCCGCCUGUAUUCUACCAGGUCCCUGAUAUUGAACAGACGGGCGAUGACAAUUUUGUAGAAUUAUCUCCGUGACAGAGAGUAGAAGGUCCGAUCACGUACAAAUUGAUUCUAUUAUAGUGAAUCCUUUAACACCUCUGUCUGUAAGCUUUGAUGUUUAACAUUUUCAGACUUCCACAAUUAUUUCAAAAAUAGAUGGACAUUUGUAAUCAAUCCUACUCCGAGAUCUUUUUCUAGUCAACACAAAACAAUUAUAGAACAGAGUCGUUUCACGAACCAAUAUUAUUACAGCUGUUUUUGAUCUUUGGUUUCGGCUUGCAUUAGUUUAUAACAUGAUAAUUACUCCCGUGACUAUAAUCUAUCAAUUAAAUCUAGUAUGUGAAAUAACAACACGGCAAUGGUUAGGCACUAGAUAUUGCUUUGUUUCUGUACGGAGAAUUUCCCGCAUGGUCAGAUUGAAAAGUAUUUGUAGAGUGGUAAAGGAAUUCAUCCGGUAUUGUUUCAUUAAUUAUAAGGUAGAUCAAUAUUGCGUGUAAAUCUGCGCCAAUGAGCGGAACUAAUUAGGUAUCGGGACACUCUCCCUGAUAUACCUGUAGACAGAAUGAUUAACUUAGCAGAUAUUCCGGAGUCAAACUGAUUGCUCGUUCAGAUAUUUAGCUGCUACAACUAUCACAAAAGCUAGGUUAAUGUUGAGAUAUACAUCAUUGAUGAUCACAUCCAAUAAGUAUUGCUUUCAUCAGGACUUCUAACCAUUUAUACUAGUUUCACUUGCUUAGUGACGUCACUGUCAGACGCCUUAUCAUUGUACAUUUGGUUUGCGUUUUUCCAGAUUUAGACUUUAGCAUUCUAUCAAAUUUCCCGAUUUAUAUAAACAAUGUGAUUCUCAUUGUUAGAAUGAGUAUAACAUUUUAAAUCACGUUUAUGUCAAUGUUUGCGGAAGAACAUUUUUCAACAAAUUGUUACAGAUUAUGCAUAUAUGCUUUAAUUGCAGAACUCUAUUAUGGAUAUGUUAAAAUAUCAUGUGAAAUAUAUAAAGAAUUAAUUGUGUUCACAAGGUAUGGUGGUCUGUAAUUACCGUCAGUUAAUUAAAAAGAAAUCUAAAGUAAACUUAA